UUAGAUGUUGCUUUUUGGCGGAUUUGGAUUACAUUACUAACUACAUUUUGAUGUUCUAUAAUGUGUGUUAUCUAAAAUCAGUGUUACAGCUACAAAUACAAUUUCGCAUGUUUUUAACAGAAGCAGUCUCUUUAUUCAACUGUAUUCUAGACAUUGGACUAGUUAGGAUGUGUCAAAGUGAAAUAUUAAAACUUUUGCGUUUUGAAAAAAACAUUUGACAAAGUCUGCCUUCCAAUUUAGCAUACAUUUUAUGGGAAUUGAAAAAUUCCUACACAUGGCUGGAUCUCAUAAAAAACAAGGGAUAGUUUAUAAAGUGGGAUUACUUAGAUGGAUCAUGUUUCAGCAUCGAUGGUAUCAACAGCGUACGUACAUUCCAAAAUUCAAUCACCUUCUUGAACCAUGGGGGAGUUUUACCAUUUUCCAUUGUUCCAUUUUCCAUGGAAAUUGGGAUGUUCGUUGUAUAAAUAUAAAUUCCUAGACAUAGCUGGGCCUCAUAAAAAACAAGGGAUAGUAUAUAAAAGGGGUUUUUACUUAGAUGGACUGCAUUGAUGGUAUCAACUACGUGCAUAUAUUCCAAAAUUCGAUCACCUUCUUGAACCAUGAUUGAGUUUUACCAUUUUCCAUUGUUGAUCUGUCGUAUAAAAAUUGGGACCUUCGUUGUAUAAUUAUGUAGAAAUUUCUAGACGUGGCUGGGUCUCAUAAAAAACAAGGGAUGGUUUAUAAAGUGGGAUUACUGAGAUGGGUUGCAUCGAUGGUAUCAACUGCGUACCUACAUCCCAAAAUUCGAUCACCUUUUUGGACCAUGGGGGAGUUUUUCCAUUUUCCGCUGUUGAGCUGUCGUGUGGAAAUUGGGACGUUCGUUGUAUAAUUAUGUAGAUAGACAAAAGUGGAUUUAUUAUUCACAAUUUUAAAUAUCCUUCAGUUAUUCUAUCAAUUUAUUGACUUUCUUUUUUGGUAAUCUAAUGCAAUUUUUACAUCCUUAGCGUCAAAUCAUAUUAAUCAUUUUGAUUUUUAUCUUAUUGCGAAAAGUUUCGCCUUUUUACUUAUUUUUUAG